rnacentral:rRNA from 1 species
GACGAACGCUGGCGGCGUGCUUAACACAUGCAAGUCGAACGGAAAGGCCCUGCUUUUGUGGGGUGCUCGAGUGGCGAACGGGUGAGUAACACGUGAGUAACCUGCCCUUGACUUUGGGAUAACUUCACGAAACUGGGGCUAAUACCGGAUAGGAGCUCCUGCUGCAUGUUGGGGGUUGGAAAGUUUCGGCGGUUGGGGAUGGACUCGCGGCUUAUCAGCUUGUUGGUGGGGUAGUGGCUUACCAAGCUUGUGACGGGUAGCCGGCCUGGGAGGGGUGACGGCGACAAUGGGACUGAGAUACGGCCCAGACGGGUACGGGAGGCAGUAGUGGGGAAUAUUACACAACGGGCGGAAGCGUGAUACAGCAACGCCGCGUGCGGGAUGACGGCUUUCGGGUUGUAAACCGCUUUGGCCUGAAACGAAGCGUGAGUGACGGUAAUGGGUAAAGAAGCACCGGCUAACUACGUG